rnacentral:rRNA from 1 species
UACGGAGGGUGCGAGCGUUGUCCGGAAUCACUGGGCGUAAAGGGCGCGUAGGUGGCGGGUCAAGCGUGCGGUGAAAGCUCGGGGCUUAACCCCGAGUCGGCCGUGCGAACUGGCUUGCUUGAGCACUGUAGAGGCAGAUGGAAUUCCGGGUGUAGCGGUGGAAUGCGUAGAGAUCCGGAAGAACACCGGUGGCGAAGGCGGUCUGCUGGGCAGUUGCUGACACUGAGGCGCGACAGCGUGGGGAGCAAACAGG